UUGAAAGGAAAAUGGAAGACGAAGGAUCACCGGCAUCUGCUAAGUAUCGCGGGACGUCCUAUCAAGGCUACUCCACUGAUGAAACUGACUCGCGCCAACGGUCACGCCAUGCGUCGGAGGGGAGUAGCACAAAGUCAUUCCUCAUACUCGGACUCAUUUUCCUGGCAUCGUUGCUAGCCUUGGGAGUUGUGUAUCUCAACUUCCCAAAGCUGGAUCAAGAUGAAGUUCAGUAUAUUAAACUACCUAGAGAUAUUGAUGAUGCGAAAAAUUUGGGAAGAGUUUUGUCAAGAUACAAGGACAGAUAUUUUUACCAAGUUUUAAUUGGCGUUUUUGUUAUGUAUAUAUUUUUACAAACAUUUGCUAUACCAGGAUCUAUAUUUCUCAGCAUAAUCUGUGGCUAUCUAUUCUCCUACUACAUUGCUCUAUUCGGUGUUUGUCUGGCAUCAGCUGUAGGUGCUUCCUUCUGUUAUUUGUUGUCAUAUUUGGUUGGAAGAAGACUGGUGAGGAAGUAUAUCCCCGAGCGAGUAGCCCAGUGGAGGUCACAUGUUGAAAAGAACCGUGAACACCUGCUCAACUACAUGAUCUUUCUGCGAAUCACUCCAUUCCUCCCCAACUGGUUUAUCAACAUCACUGCCCCAGUCAUAGACGUGCCUCUCCCACCUUUCUUCUGGGGAACCUUUAUAGGAGUUGCUCCACCUUCCUUCGUAGCAGUCCAGGCAGGAACGACCUUGUACAAGUUGACCUCGUCAGGGGAUGCUGUGUCAUGGACGUCUGUUAUUGUACUAGCUGCAUUAGCUAUCCUCUCUCUGCUACCUGUUGUUUUCAAGAAACGGUUACAAAAGAAAUUUGAUUGACAUCAGUCACCUAUUAGGCAUUCUUGUGUGUGAGGAGAAUGACAGAUCUGUCUGAUUCUGUGUAUGUGUCUGUUACCAUGGUUGCCCAUGUAUUUGAUGUACUGAUAAACAGUUUCCUCACUUAAACUGCAUUUAAUGUCACGGGUCAUCAGAAGCUGUGUAGUUGUGCCAGACCAUUUUGUAUACAUCAAGGUGGUAUUGUUCACUGAUCUUCAUGGUAUUCUUGGUUGACUUGAAAGACAUGGUCAAAUCUCAAAAUGCAAGAAACUCACCACUGGCCUGUCUAGGCGUGUCCAAAUCAGGAUCUGUUUGCUAAUAUGGAUGUCUUUUGUUACCAAUUAUAAUUGGAUGACAAUUUAUAUUUGAAGUGAUUAUUUUCAGUGUAUGAACAUAAGACCGAAACAAGUCAGCUGGUAUUGUUGUACUAACCCUAUCUGACAGAGAUCUGACGUGGCCUCUAGUUCCAUGUCUUCAUAUCCACAUUCAGUAUGUGCGUAUUAUCAUGGAAAUGUCUACAUUGUGUUGGACGGUUGUCACAUGUAAUAGAACAAUGGAAAUGUACUAAAGUUGUGAUUUAAAUACAUCGUAUAUAUUUGUUUGAAAGCGUAUGGUAAAAAUCUUGUCUAUUUUUUUAUUGCCAACUAUUUGUAGUGUUUGGGGAAGUGUGCAAUCAGUACAUGGCUGAGGUUUUAUAGAAUAUAUAAAUUAAUGUCCUUGUUGAACAAUGUGUGAAUAAAUUCUGUUAAGUAGUUUUUGAACGUUUUAGAAAUCCUUAGUUUCAUUCUUGCUAUUUGAGAAUAUUUACUGAGUUGAAACUGUUGAAGCCUUAGAAUAGCUUAACAUUGGUACCAGUUUUGGUCAGGACAGAGGUUCUACUCUCAUGAACUGGAAGUACUGGGGACCAACCAUUAAGAGUUGAGAUUUCACAGUACUGAUCUUUUCCUACCUUUGUAUUCUUUUUACAACCAAGUAUUGCAGAAUAGCAUUUUACAUGUUUACUAUUAUACUUUCAUGCCUGUAUGCUGUUCAUAGUUUAUAUGAGUUCCAUACUUAAGUUCCAUUUAAUAUGUAGUAAAUUCCAUUUAAGCAUGUAGUAAAACCCUGUCUAUCUGGAAACCUCCCCUUCAGGCCAAAAGGGGUGUCUGCUCUGUGCUUUUCAUUAUUUAUUUAAUCUGUAACUAUAUUUACCCAGGUGUUUAAGUUUAUGGACGUUGUGUCUUAUGCAACCUUGAAGAGAGCUCAGGCAGCUGGCAGUAGCUUAGUACUUGUAACUACAUCACUAGCCAUUACUUAGUAUUUAUCAGGGUCAUUUCUUAGAUACUUCCAUAUUCGGACAUCUAUUUCAGCAUCAGUUUCAGCAUCACUGUUAAAAAUGUAGUUGAUUACUGGAUAGACAUAUUAACCUUAUCAGAGAUCUACAAUAUUUUCUGCAGAAUGAUUUGGAUUCAUGAUAAAUUAUUUUAUUUUAUUCAUCAUAAACUUUAUCGGUCAAAAUGAAAACAUUUUCCACAUGUGGUAUUUUUGUUUUUAGAAUGUACCUGUGUGUUUUGACCACUCAUUCUGGUCUGAAUGACUAGUUUGCACUUUGUUUCAGAGAUAAGUAUCCCUGGGUCUUCUCCUGGUGUAUAACAAUUCACUUUAUUGUACAAAUAAGGAUGGGUAGAAAGUGUUCCAAUUCUACAAACCAUUUUGAUAUUAGAAUUAUGUAAAAUAAGACAUUUGACCUUUGAAUACCUGGUUUAAUGGUUUGGAUGAAAGUCCAUAAAAAUGCAAUAUUUUAUUUUAGACAACUUUCAUUUUCUUCAUCCCAAGUCUCAGUGAUGACAAAUAUUUUGGAGCAGAUGAAGAAACCAUCUGACUUGUAAAACACACUUUCUUUACUGUCACAUCAUUUGUUAUUUCAUCUAAUCAAAUUACUUUUAAGUGUUAACAUUUAUUUUUUUAAAUUUAUCUUGUGUUGCCCAUUACAUGCAUCUGUAAACCAAGUAAGACGCUAAUGGAGUCAUUGUAUUUGGUUUCAGUAUUUGUCCUAAAUACCUCCAUGUCAGAACCAUAUUUAGGUGUUAUUUAUGUAUUUAAAAAAAAAAUUAUGGUGAAAAUAAAUAUGCAGACAUUA
rnacentral:misc_RNA from 1 species